AGCUGUGUAGUUUAAUGUUUAAAAUACCUAUUUGUGGUGUAGGAGAAUUUGUUGGCUU
rnacentral:tRNA from 1 species